ensembl:lncRNA
AAAGAAUUAGCAGACUUGAAGAGAGAUUGACAAACUUCCUCACAGGCUAGAGGGCAUGCAGCCUUCAGUAGCUGUGGCACAAGGAUUUAGUUGCCCCAAGGCACAUGGAAUCAUCCUGGACCGGGAAUUGAGCCUGUGUGCCCUGCAUUGGCAGAUUUCACUCUGAACUGCCUGUCCCAUUUUGAUGUGGAAACAUCUGGAAACAUUUCCCAUCUGCUACUGCACUCCUUGAGGACAAUUCAGCUUUCCACUGAAUCCAGAGCUGAUGUUUUGGGAGGAGGAGCAGAAAAAGCACAGAGGCCCAAAGCAGAUUCAAGUAACAGUCUACUGCAGCCGGGAAAAGGAUGGAGAGUGAUGGAGGAACGUACUGCCAGAGGAGAUGAUGUUUGAGCCAGGACCCGAGUGCAGUGAGGAACAAAGCCAUGGACAUAAUCAGGGAUUUCUAGCAGUGGGAAUGCAAGCACAGAGGCCCUGAAGCGGAAAAGGAUUUAUCAAGUGGAAGGCAGAGCAAGACGCUUAGAGCCUCAAGGCUUGAUUCUACAGUAAAACUACUCCAAAGUCUCAAAGAAUGCAAUCUCUAGCCUAUCUUUUAUCUUUUAUCCAUAUUUUUUAAAAAAUCUAUUUUGAAAAAGAAAUCUCACAGAGAAAAGUUCAAGUAUAGCGUGGUAAUUUUUUCUUUGAAACAUUUGGGAGCAAGGAAAUUGAUGUGGUCCAUUGCCCUGAAUUUUUUUUUUUUUUUGCCACACUCUGUGGCUUACAGUUCCCCAACGAAGGAUCAAACCUGGACAGUUAGCAG